rnacentral:lncRNA from 1 species
UUUUGUUGUUAACUGUCUUUUGUCAACGAUCUGCAUGUUUGUUUAGAAUAAUAUAUAUUGAUGAAAAUUGUAAUAAUAUUUUUGCACAAAAGUAACUUGUACUACUAGAAAUUUGUUGUUUUUGUUGAAUUGUUUUGAAUAGUUUGUAAACCUUUUGACAAAGCGAAACCAGACAAAAGUCAAUUUCAGUUUAUUGUUGAAUUGAAUAUUUGUUCAUGAGACUACUACACAUCAAAUAAAUAUUUCCAUUAAUCAUGAAAUUAAAUUAUUUUACAAUUACCAGUAUUGUGAUUUAUUAAAUUAAGAUAAGAUAAUUUUAAG